CUCGCUUUCAUCUUUCGAGUAAAUUCAUACCCCCUAACAUCAGUGUCCGGUGAAGUAGGAUUUCAGUGGGCAGUAACAAACAUGCCCAAAAGGGGGUGUGUCUGCACAAAGAAUUCGAUGGUCAGUCUGGCGUGAAUGCACGUUAGGCUGCCUGCCAAUAAUACAGGAUCACCAACCAUGGGCAUACUGUGCAUGGCAUAAAUGUGUCUAAUGAUGCGCUAGCUCUACGCUUUCUAAGGACUGUCCCCUAGCACUCACUGGUCUACUCAUCUCCUUAUGUUCUUACUAGCAGGCAGAAGCUCUUGUUAUACAGUCUGGGACAGAGAAAACGUGUAUGUAGAGCGUGUAGAAGAAAGGGAACAUGCCACAGUGUAAGAGAGACUGAAGCAGCAAGAGCAUUUGCAUAGUACGCAAAGUCAGCUUUACCUUAACUAAUUUAAUUAUCAGCCAGUCCACAC